GAUGAACGCUGGCGGCGUGCCUAAUACAUGCAAGUCGAGCGAAUGGAUUAAGAGCUUGCUCUUAUGAAGUUAGCGGCGGACGGGUGAGUAACACGUGGGUAACCUGCCCAUAAGGCUGGGAUAACUCCGGGAAACCGGGGCUAAUACCGGAUAACAUUUUGAACCGCAUGGUUCGAAAUUGAAAGGCGGCUUCGGCUGUCACUUAUGGAUGGACCCGCGUCGCAUUAGCUAGUUGGUGAGGUAACGGCUCACCAAGGCAACGAUGCGUAGCCGACGUGAGAGUGUGAUCGGCCACACUGGGACUGAGACACGGCCCAGACUCCUACGGGAGGCAGCAGUAGGGAAGCUUCCGCAAUGGACGAAAGUCUGACGGAGCAACGCCGCGUGAGUGAUGAAGGCUUUCGGGUCGUAAAACUCUGUUGUUAGGGAAGAACAAGUGCUAGUUGAAUAAACUGGCACCUUGACGGUACCUAACCAGAAAGCCACGGCUAACUACGUGCCAGCCGCCGCGGUAA
rnacentral:rRNA from 1 species